rnacentral:tRNA from 1 species
GCCUGGGUGGCUCAGUGGCUGAGCACAUGACUUCGGCUCAGGUCAUGAUCCCAAGGUCCUGGGAUCGAGUCCCACAUCAGGCU